rnacentral:rRNA from 1 species
GAUGAACGCUAGCGGGAGGCCUAACACAUGCAAGCCGAGCGGUAUUGUUUCUUCCGAAAUGACAAAGAGGCGUACAGGUGCGAAACACAUGUGCAACCUGCCUUUAUCUGGGGGAUAGCCUUUCCAAAAGAAGAUUAAUACUCCAUAACAUAUUGAUUGGGAUCAGUUAAUAUUGAAAGCUCCCGCGGAUAUAGAUGGGCACACGCAAGAUUAGCUAGUUGGUGAGGUAACGGCUCACCAAGGCGAUGAUCUUUAGGGGGCCUGAGAGGAUGAUCCCCCACACUGGUACUGAGACACGGACCAGACUCCUACGGGAGGCAGCAGUGAGGAAUAUUGGACAAUGGGUGCAAGCCUGAACCAGCCAUCCCGCGUGAAGGACGACUGCCCUAUGGGUUGUAAACUUCUUUUGUAUAGGGAUAAACCUACCCUCGUGAGGGUAGCUGAGAGUACUAUACGAAUAAACACCGGCUAACUCCGUGCCAGCAGCCGCGGUAAUACAGACGGUGCAAGCGUUAUCCGGAUUUAAUGAGUUUAAAGGGUCCGUAGGCGGACUUAUAAGACAGAGGUGAAAGCCUGUCGCUUAACGAUAGAACUGCCUUUGAUACUGUAAGUCUUGAGUAUAUUUGAGGUAGCUGGAAUAACUAGUGUAGCGGUGAAAUGCAUAGAUAUUACUUAGAACACCAAUUGCGAAGGCAGGUUACCGAGAUAUAACUGACGCUGAUGGACGAAAGCGUGGGGAGCGAACAGGAUUAGAUACCCUGGUAGUCCACGCCGUAAACGAUGCUAACUCGUUUUUGGGCUUUAGGGUUCAGAGACCAAGCGAAAGUGAUAAGUUAGCCACCUGGGGAGUACGCUCGCAAGAGUGAAACUCAAAGGAAUUGACGGGGGCCCGCACAAGCGGUGGAUUAUGUGGUUUAAUUCGAUGAUACGCGAGGAACCUUACCAAGCCUUAAAUGGGAAUUGACAGUCUUUAGAAAUAGAGCUUUCUUCGGACAAUUUUCAAGGUGCUGCAUGGUUGUCGUCAGCUCAUGCCGUGAGGUGUUAGGUUAAGUCCUGCAACGAGCGCAACCCCUGUCACUAGUUGCCAUCAUUCACAUGGGAGACUCUAGUGAGACUGCCUACGCAAGUCGAGAGGAAGGUGGGGAUGACGUCAAAUCAUCACGGCCCUUACGUGUUGGGCCACACACGUAAUACAAUGGCCGGUACAGAGGGCAGCCACACAGCGAUGUGAUGCAAAUCUCGAAAGCCGGUUUCAGUUCGGAAUGGAGUCUGCAACUUGACUCUAUGAAGCUGGAAUCGCUAGUAAUCGCGCAUCAGCCAUGGCGCGGUGAAUACGUUCCCGGGCCU